UUUAAUCAUACCUUAAAAAAACUCAAACCGAUGCCAAUCUCAACAAUUAGUAAAUAAUUUAAUAUUUGGUUUCAUUUCACUUAAAGCUUCCGCGAUAUUCUCUGAUUUUGUAAUCUCUCUUUGCCAUCUUCGCCAUCUCUCUUCGAUUGAAGUGCGCAACCUAGGGUUUACAGAUAAUUUGAAGGUUUAAUGGAUAAUUUGAAGAUCUCUUCAAUGUCUUCACCUGCUAAACUUUUGUGACAAAGCUCGUGGUAAGAGAGGAAAAUAAGCAAAGUCUGAUUAGUGAAGAUUGUAAAGGUGGCUUAUUACACACACAAGAAGCUCCUGCAAUGGAGGCGCAAAAGAAAGAGUUCCAAAUAAACCACUUGCAUUGCCAACAGCUGAAAUGUUGGCAUUGGAAACUGUGACAUUUGCAUUAUGCAGAUUUGGCUUCUUACAAUCAUACAUAUACUGGUUUAUCAAAAACAAAGGCGAAGUCCAAUUUGAAGCCAAAACUUUUGAGGAGUUGAACUUUAAUGAAACCUACCGCAUGUGUAUUAGCCAAGAAAAUUCGUCAUCCGGUUUCAGGUAAUUCUUGAUAGGACGGCCAGUAGCAGCGGAACUGAUACGACGGCCGCUUCUUGAUAGUUCAAGAAGCCUAAUUGGAAUAAACACAGCCAUAUACUCUCCAUCUGGUGCAUCCUCUAGUGUUUUUAAAACAGGUCUGUUAUCCACAAAACUUGAUGCUUAUGGAAGACUUAUUUUGGGUGAUAUUAUUACAUCUGUGAAUGGGAAAAAAAAAGUUACAAAUGGCAAUGAUUUGUACAAAUAAAUCAGUUAAAGUUCUCAUUUUCAUUGCUCUGCUCUCAUUUGCGCAACACCAUCUCUCUUUGCCAUAAUUUCUCUUCGUCAUCGCCAUAAUCUCUCUUCGCCGUCUCUUUUUCCGUCGGUUAAAGGUAAUCGCGAUCUCUCUUCUCCAUUUUUACUUUCAUUUCAUGUUCAGUGCGUGAGUUUUACAGUGCGCAAUUUCCAUCUCUUCAACUCCAAAGGUUUGCUGAUAAUUUGAAGAUCUCUUCAAUGUCAUCACAUGUAAAUUGAAUUUACCAAAUAGAUUUGAUAUUUACAGUGCUGGCCUAAUUGUUUUACAAAUGGCAUUUCCAGGGUUUAAGUAUGACAGUGGCUUAAUACAAUUCAACCGUUAGUUGGAAAAGUGUGAUUAUUACUUAGUAACCUGGAGGAAACUUGUAGAGCCACGUGCAAGCGCUGAACUUCGAAGAGGAUUUGAGUUACUGGAUUUAGACGGAGGGAUAAGAUGGGAGCUUCUGACAUCAAUUGUCUGAUCCAAAGCGUGACAAAGAACAAGUAUAAAAGCAGCAUUGGCACAUCCUUAUUUUAUAGAGAAGGUCUGCUGGUUUUAUCUUUCAUACAAACGCUGAGGAUGGAAUACUUUCAAGCGACACAACAAGAUGGAAUUUUUAAUUUUAGCGAAUAUUUUCUGUUUUUUAUUUUGUGUUUCGAAUUUUAGCAAACAUUAAAUUGUUGUCUAGCAUGAAUUUUGAAAUUAUGUAUAAGAUUUAUUUAAAUUUUUAUACAAAAUAAAUUAAAUU